GCCGUCGUAGCUCAGAUGGUAGAGCACCUCGCUGUUAGUACGAGGUGGUCCCAGGUUCGAGUCCUGGCGACGGCG
rnacentral:tRNA from 1 species